rnacentral:rRNA from 1 species
AAGACUGGAUAGGAAAUAAAAAGGCAUCUUUUUAUUUUUAAAAGACCUUUUUCGAAAGGUAUGCUUAAAGAGGGGCUUGCGCCAUAUUAGUUAGUUGGUAGGGUAAAAGCCUACCAAGACGAUGAUAUGUAGCUGGACUGAGAGGUUGAACGGCCACAUUGGGACUGAGACACGGCCCAAACUCCCACGGGAGGCAGCAGUAGGGAAUUUUCGGCAAUGGAGGAAACUCUGACCGAGCAACGUCGCGUGAACGAUGAAGUAUUUCGGUAUGUAAAGUUCUUUUAUUGAAGAAGAAAAAAUAGUGGAAAAACUAUCUUGACGCUAUUCAAUGAAUAAGCCCUGGCUAAUUAUGUGCCAGCAGCCGCGGUAAUACAUAAAGGGCGAGCGUUAUCCGGAAUUAUUGGGCGUAAAGGGUGCGUAGGCGGUUUGUUAAGUCUUUAGUUUAAUCUCAGUGCUUAACGCUGUUCUGCUAGAGAAACUGACUUACUAGAGUGAGAUAGAGGCAAGUGGAAUUCCAUGUGUCAGCGGUAAAAUGCGUAAAUAUAUGGAGGAACACCAGAGGCGUAGGCGGCUUGCUGGGUCUUUACUGACGCUGAGGCACGAAAGCGUGGGGAGCAAACAGGAUUAGAUACCCUGGUAGUCCACGCCGUAAACGAUGAGUACUAAGUGUCGGGGAAACUCGGUACUGAAGUUAACACAUUAAGUACUCCGCCUGAGUAGUACGUACGCAAGUAUGAAACUUAAAGGAAUUGACGGGAUCCCGCACAAGCGGUGGAUCAUGUUGUUUAAUUCGAAGAUACACGAAAAACCUUACCAGGUCUUGACAUACUCUGCAAAGCUGUAGAAAUACAGUGGAGGUUAUCAGGGAUACAGGUGGUGCAUGGUUGUCGUCAGCUCGUGUCGUGAGAUGUUAGGUUAAGUCCUAGAACGAGCGCAACCCUUGUCGUUAGUUACCAGCACGUUAUGGUGGGCACUUUAACGAGACUGCCAAUGAAAUAUUGGAGGAAGGUGAGGAUUACGUCAAAUCAUCAUGCCCCUUAUGAUCUGGGCUACAAACGUGAUACAAUGGCUGUUACAAAGAGUAGCUGAAACGUGAGUUUUUGGCCAAUCUCAAAAAAACAGCCUCAGUUCGGAUUGAAGUCUGCAACUCGACUUCAUGAAGUUGGAAUCGCUAGUAAUCGCAAAUCAGCA